CAAGCUGGCUUAUGUCACUGUUACGGAGCUCCUUCUGCAGAAUAACUCGCAACCCGGGCACUUGAUGCUACACAAACAUUCUAGAAUCUAUUAAUACAAUGGACUAGUUCGAUUAACACUGUUUCCUUCUCUAAAAAAUACUUCCUAUAUGUUUUGCAUAAGUCUUACAUCUGGAUCUAGAGCAACUCUAUUUAAAUCCAGCUCACUUACCUAUCACAAAAAACGAAUUCAUUUAGGGAGCAGGCAGAAAAAUAAAAUCAAGUACCACAUUAGACGUGUCUAUCUCUAAAUUGAAUUGGAAAUCCUUAUUUCUAAGUUGACAAUCCUGAGCAUUGAUUCUUCAUCCAACGGAAAAAAAUAGUUGCAAGUUGUAGAUUGUGUACAGUUUAGUUAACAUGGAAAUGAUUAUUUUAAGCUUAUGACAAAAGUGUAGAUAGCAAGUGUCUUAAAAUUGUACGUACUACAAAUGCCCUCUUACACCAGUUCUGUCCAUCAUAGUAAUAGAAAUGAUGCUAUGGUCACACAGUUUUCA
rnacentral:lncRNA from 1 species